GUCUAUAAAUAGGUUAGAAAUGUUUUGAAUAUUUUACCACUUCUAGAAAAGGUCAAUAUAAGUUUUCUGUCAAAAUUUUAAGUCUCUACGAAUAUUUUGAACUGGAUUACAAGAAAAAAAUAAAAUUAAAAAUAAUGAAACCCGCAUUAUAUCUGUAAACUUUCCCGUUCCUUCUACGUUUUUACCAGUUUUGCUCAGCUAUGAAGAAAACUACAGGAAAAAUAAAAAUAAAAAAAUUUUCUGAUUCAUCAACUAGAUUCAAAAUGUAACGGAAAAAAUGUCUUGUUAUUUGUUGAUUUGAGUAAUAUCCCUAGUAGAAAAU